GCGACCGUGGUGGAAUUGGUAGACACGCUACCUUGAGGGGGUAGUGUCCUUCGGAUGUGCGAGUUCAAAUCUCGCCGGUCGCACCA
rnacentral:tRNA from 1 species